AAUAUCCUUUUAACAAAUUAUGCGUAUUUAAGGAGAUAGGGAUGCGCAUGCGCAGAACGUAUCUCCUUACCUUUGCACUUUUUGGUAAGAAGAUGUUAACAAAAGUUGUUCGUCAUGAUGAGGGCUACAACUUUGCUUAAUAUCCUUUCAACAAAUUAUGCGUAUUUAAGGAGAUAGCGCAGCGCAUGCGCAGAACGUAUCUCCUUACCUUUGCACUUUUUGGUAAGAAGAUGUU
rnacentral:miRNA from 1 species